rnacentral:rRNA from 1 species
AAAGUGGAGCAAUCCAUGAGUAAUGUGGCGCACGGGUGAGUAACACGUGAAUCAUCUACCUCCGAGUGGGGAAUAACCUAGAGAAAUCUGGGGUGAUACCGCAUAACACUUAAGAGUCAAAGCAGCAAUGCGCUUGGAGAGGAGUUCGCGGCCGAUUAGUUAGUUGGCGGGGUAAUGGCCCACCAAGACGAUGAUCGGUAUCCGGCCUGAGAGGGCGCACGGACACACUGGAACUGAAACACGGUCCAGACUCCUACGGGAGGCAGCAGUGGGGAAUUUUGCGCAAUGGGGGAAACCCUGACGCAGCAACGCCGCGUGGAGGAUGAAAUCCCUUGGGAUGUAAACUCCUUUCGAUCGGGACGAUUAUGACGGUACCGGAAGAAGAAGCCCCGGGUAACUUCGUGCCAGCAGCCGCGGUAAUACGAGGGGGGCAAGCGUUG